rnacentral:rRNA from 1 species
AGUAAUGUCUGGGAAACUGCCUGAUGGAGGGGGGUAACUACUGGAAACGGUAGCUAAUACCGCAUAAUGUCGCAAGACCAAAGAGGGGGACCUUCGGGCCUCUUGCCAUCGGAUGUGCCCAGAUGGGAUUAGCUAGUAGGUGGGGUAACGGCUCACCUAGGCGACGAUCCCUAGCUGGUCUGAGAGGAUGACCAGCCACACUGGAACUGAGACACGGUCCAG